UACGGAGGGAGCUAGCGUUAUUCGGAAUUACUGGGCGUAAAGCGCACGUAGGCGGCUUUGUAAGUAAGAGGUGAAAGCCCAGAGCUCAACUCUGGAAUUGCCUUAUAGACUGCAUCGCUUGAAUCAUGGAGAGGUCAGUGGAAUUCCGAGUGUAGAGGUGAAAUUCGUAGAUAUUCGGAAGAACACCAGUGGCGAAGGCGGCUCACUGGACUGGUAUUGACGCUGAGGUGCGAAAGCGUGGGGAGCGAACAGG
rnacentral:rRNA from 1 species